UGGCCACAGACUCCUGGCCCAGACCACAGAGGCCCACGGGAGAGACAGCCCAGGGACAGAGGAGCAAGAGCACUUGAAGGAAAAGAAAAAAAAAAGAAGAAACGAAAACCACCCUUUUUCCAAAGCAAGACUUUGCUCUCGGGCAAGCCACGUCAUGAGUAGCCCAAUGGAGAGGCCUACGUGGUGAGGAACUGAGGCCUCCAGCCAACAGCCACGUGAGCAGGCUUGGAAGUGGGUCCUCCAGGCCCAGUUAAGCCUCAGAUGACUGCAGCCCUGGCCGACAGCUUGAUUGCAGCCUCAAGAGACCCUGAAUCAGAACCACCCAGCUAAGCUGCUCCCGCAUUCCUGAGCACAGAAACUGUGUGAUAAUAAAUGGUAGUUGUUUCAAGCUGC